GGUUAGUGAGACUCUGCUGGAAGAGAUACCUUGGCAUGCACAGAGAAGUCAGCCCUAACUAAUCUGUGGAUGAUGGCUCUUAUAAAGUUAAGGAACUCAGGGAGGGGUUCCUGAUGUAGCCCUGCAACUCAGGGCAUCCUACCUCAUCAGGACAGAUGGACAGAGAUCCCAUUGGCACUGUGUUUCAAUCGGCUAAAGCUGUCCCCUGGCUGUGGGAGUACUUCCAAGAAGACUAGGUGAAUAUGUUAAAUCUGCCUCCUGAUCCAUCUGUCUCGGUGCUUUCCCCAGCAUCUGUCUGUCUGGGAUUGUCUUGCUGUUGUCUUGCUGUCCAUCUGUUACAACCAUCUAAGAUCUGAUUUGGAAGCUCUUCGAGCCAACAUUUUUCUGCUUAUGUCAAGAAACACAAUGAUCCACCUCAGGCCCCAAGGUGCUGCUCCAGUACUGACUCCAUCAGACCAAACAUUUCCAAAUUAAGGAUCAAAAUUCCUACAGGGCUGGUCAUCUGUUAUUAAUCUGGAGCUGCUUGAAAACAUUUGAUCUACAAGAGACUCAGAAACAGAAAAAAGGUUGAUAAUCACAGUAUUCUAUCAUCUGCUCUGUAGAUAUAUUCUAUUGAUGUUUUCUGUUUCAUGCUCAUUAUGCCAUCUUUCUUUUCUCUUCAAUAUUUUCUUUUGUAACAACAGAAUGUCAGAGUAGUCCAAAAGCUCUUGUCUUUCAUUGGUUAUCAAACAAUGCUUAUAUUAGAAGACAUCUACUUUGGUCCCAUUUCCAGCUCCCUUUUCAUGUAUCCAUCUUCAAUAUUCCUUGAAGCACAAAAAGUCUUCCCUACUGAAUUUGUCUUUUUAAAGCAUUUCUGCUGUGGAAGCCUUCUAUGAAAGCCAAUAAAAACCACUUAGAUUUGAGGGACCAACUGCAGUGUCUAGAAAACUGACUCUGAGAAGAAUGUGCACUCGAAAAAUAUCUUGAAUGGAUUUAUUAUACUAACAUAUGUUAAAACUGCCAGUGCUGCAAAGAAAACUCUCUACAUCAUCUCCUCUCAUUUACAGCACCAAAAAGGCUAAAACUUUAUUCUAAUAAAGUGUGGUGCAGUUGCAGCUGCAAGUGGUAUAAAAUAAGAUACAUUAAGUGAAAUAGACAUUAAAAGUGCAAAGUAAGAGAUGGGUACAAAAGGAAAUUUUUAUCAUGACAAUCCAUUAGUGUUUUGCAGCCAGGCAGACAAAAACAGUGACCUGGAACAAAUCAAGAAGAAUGAUGUUUGACUUAUGCUUCCUUCUACAAAGUAUGACCUAUAUACACAGUUUUUAAUUAGAAAUAUGUUUUCUUCAUGGGAUGAUGAGCUAAAUUCUGUUAAUUUUUAUAAUUCAUUAAAGAUCCAGGUAGAAUUACAAAUAAAUGGGGAAGGAAUGAGCUUUGGACCAGCUACAAAAAAACCCUCCCUGUGAAACAGAGAGAUCCAUCAGCAUGUAGCUGUGUGCUGACUAGUUGCAUAAGCCACCGUUAUCCUCAGACAACCUUGACUAAAUCUUGCCAUCAAUAUUUAAAAUAAAUCUAGCACAAGCCAUGUUUUUAAAAUCCUAAGCUAGUCAUCUAGAAGACUGAUUUUUUUGUCCCAUGAAUGACCUCUGGAAGAAAAAACACAUGCACAGCACUUUCUUCCACAAGUGGAAAGAUGUUCACCACAUAUAGGACUGGCAAGCACUGCACAGGAAAAUACAUUUACUUAAAAGCACUUUAAGGGAACUUCUGAAUGAAUGCAGCAGUGCUGUCUAGAGGGAUGAGUCCGUGGGGCCAGAUCCCUCUCCAAUUUUCAAAAGAACUUGCCCCCUGUUAAUUACUGUGUCUGACACUGGGCACAUAAAUGACUCUGCAUAUGUGUUUCUAUUGGUUGAUCUUCUCAAGUGCAAUGUCACAGGCAGUAGGACUGAGCUCUGCGGGAUGCCUUUGGUGGGGUGUAACACUCUAUUGUGUAAAGGCAAACCUCAAAGCUGGCUCCACACUUUCCCACAACUUUAUGCUGCGUUGCUUAGAUCAGAAGCCUGAGCACUGCAUCAAGUGUGCAAUACCACCAGCCUCUCCACCGUGCUCUCACACACGAUCACACUGUGCAUGAACACACAGUCACUGUGCUCAGAACAGUUCACGACUGAGCAGGAAAGCACCAUGUUCAUCCAGAGCAUUUGAAAACCCACCAGAGCAACAGCAAUCAUUUAUUGAUUUAUACCUGUGAAGUUGGAAAGGACUCACAGAACCACAGAAAGGUUGGGGGUGAAAGGGACCUCCGGAGAUCACCCAGUCCAACCCCCCCACCAAGGCACCUAAAGCAGGUGACACAGGAUUCUGCAUUUGUGUUUGCAUCAAUAGUUAACAUGCAAGUUUCCACAUUUCAGUGUCAGCCUACUGCAGAAGUGGCUGAAGAAAACUGAUCCAACUGAACCAUUUUGUCACUCAGAUUAUUUGAAAAUUUUGACACUUAAAUAUUGGCUCGUAAUUUUUCUUGUUUUGGGCUGAAGGGGCUCAUGCAUUUUUUUUGCCAAGAAUGUGGAUAUCCAAAAAAUCUAUUUAAAGUUCUAAAGUUUUAAAACUUUGAAAUGUCAACUAGUAGUGUCUUACCAGAAGGUGACUGGUGCAGAUAAGUAUUAUAUAGAUUGAAACAAGCACAUAUUGAUCUGGACUCAUGUUAAAGCAACACCCAGCCACUGGUUAAAGAGAGGCAGCUGACAGUGAAAAGUGUUUGCUUCUUGAGCAGGAUUGACUGCAGAAAUAUCCUUUAAUCAUGUGAGCAUAAGAUGUGUAGGGUUUGGUUAACCUUGGCCCUUAUGCACUGCUGUGUCUGAAAAAAAAAGAUUUCUCUAAUUAUCAGCAAAAAUAAAAAUACUACCAUUUAAUCAUAAUUCCCUUGAAAUGGCAACUUUGAUUUCAUGGUAGUGUUUACAGUUCUAGACUCACCAGUUGUGUCAGAAAUCCAGGCUCUGGUGAGCAAACCCUCUAAGCUUCACUGGAAAAAGCUUUUGAACUCACUGCUGCUUGCUCCAGAGGAUGAAAAACAAACCUUAAAGCUGCCAAUAUUUAUGUUUUGGGGAAACCAAUUGAAAAAGAGAAAGAGAUUUUCUGAGCUCAGAACAAAAAUAGCAUUAAAAAAGCUUAUUUUGUUUUAUCCCUUUGAAAAUUCCCUUUUCUUUUUAAUUAAGCUCUCACAGGAUUCAUGGUGUUGGAGAGUUUUCAAAGAAACAGAGAACUUGCUUGCCAGGUUUUUUGUCUUUUUUCCCCCCUCUGCUAGCUCACACAGCUCUACUUGUUGCAAAUAUUUAUUUGCUCUGAGAAAAGGAGCUGAAGCAGAGGAAUUGCUGGGAGUGUUCAGGAAACCAAAAUAAUAUUAAUAACAACUUCUACAUAUUAUAGAGAGAAAGGUCCAUAAGAUUUUUCUGUUGUAGAAACACAGAUCCAAACAGGAAAAGAUUUGCUCAGGUUAAACUUUGUAUUACCUAACAGUUGUAAACCAGGGUCACAGAAGCUUGAUUUUUUUUCACUAGGAGUAGAAAGAUAUAGCUGUUGCAACAACACAUUGAUUUGCAGUAAAUUCUAUGUAGUUUUGGCCUCAAUUCCACAAACAUCAAGCUGGUCAUUUCAGAUAUGUGUUUCCUGAGGGGCUGACAAAGACUUUAUCUCUUUCCCAAUACCUCUGGCAGCUACUGUUUUCCCAGCAGAGGAUCAUGACUUUUCUCUGCAUUUGGGAAUCGGAUACUGGAUGCAUCCAGAGAGGCUCGAUGCGGCUGCUCAGCAGCUGCAAGGCUGGGACUUCUCCUUGACUCCAUCCAAGAGAGCUGUGUUUGAUGAGCCCUGAGCAGGGCUGCCAGGGCUGACAUCUCCUCUACCCACAGGUCACAGUAUGAGCAGGUCCCACAGCAUCACUGGGCCUAAAAUUACAGACAUAAAAGAUCUCAGGCCUCUAAAAGACUUUCAUACCAAUUUACAAGGCAGAAAUUAAAUACAAGAAUAAACCAGAAUGGUUUCUGUUGAAAAAGACUGUUAAGCUCAUUGAGUCCAACUGUUAACCUUACACUGACAAAUCCAGCAUUAAACCAUGUCCCUAAGUGCCACAAAUCUUUCACAUACAGCUGGGGAUGGAGACUCCAUCACUUUCCUGGGAAGCCAGUUUCAGAGCUUUACAAACUUUUUGAUGACAAAAGUUUUCCUAAUAUCCAAUCUAAAUCUUCUCUAGCAUAACUUGAGGCCAUUCCCUCUCAUCCUGUCACUUGUCU